GAGGAGCAGGAUUGAGAAACACUGAGUUAAUUGAAGAUUUAGAUGUGAAUGUACCCAAAAAGUCAUGCCCUGGAUCCCAGCAACCUACGAUAUUAAAGACAUGAACGCACACACGAAACAAUAUAACGUCUUCAUGUUGCCGCAACUGGAAGAAGAAGAGGAAGGAGCCCCCUGGAGCCUGGAGUAAUUCACCAGCAGCAGACGUCAGACGUCAGACGUCUGUUGUUUCCCUGCUUUGUCUUCGUGGUGUCCAGCCUUCCUCAGGUGUUUCCUCUGUUUACCGCCGAGGACAGAAGUGUCCUUGUGCCCCGAGUCGUUCUGCUGCCUGGAGUAGCGCUUGCACUUGCAGGAGGUCACCACCGUGAUCUUGUACGUCCGGGAGCUUCCGUCCUGGCACUGCAGCUGGAUCCGCUGGGUCCUGGUUCUGUCGAUGAUGCAGCGCCACUCCUGCGUGUCGCGGCGGC